rnacentral:rRNA from 1 species
UACGGGGGGGGGCAAGCGUUGUUCGGAAUUACUGGGCGUAAAGGGCUAGUAGGCGGCCAACUAAGUCAGACGUGAAAUCCCUCGGCUUAACCGGGGAACUGCGUCUGAUACUGGAUGGCUUGAGUUUGGGAGAGGGAUGCGGAAUUCCAGGUGUAGCGGUGAAAUGCGUAGAUAUCCGGAGGAACACCGGUGGCGAAGGCGGCUUCCUGGACCGACACUGACGCUGAGGCGACGAAGCUAGGGGAGCAAACGGG